CAGCCGUAAACUAUGCUCGCUAGGUGUCAGGGACGGUGCGACCGUUUCUGGUGCCGCAGGGAAGCCGUGAAGCGAGCCACCUGGGAAGUACGGUCGCAAGGCUGAACUUAAGGAUUGGCGGGGGAGCACCACAACGGGUGGAGCUUGCGGUUUAAUUGGAUUCAACGCCGGAAAUCUUACCGGGACCGACAGCAACAUGAAGGCCAAGCUGAAGACUUUGCCGGAUUAGCUGAGAGGUGGUGCAUGGCGUAGUCGUGU
rnacentral:rRNA from 1 species